rnacentral:rRNA from 1 species
AGUGGCGCACGGGUGAGUAACGCGUGGGUACCUGUCCUUGAAUUGGGGAUAACUCCUCGAAAGGGGAGUUAAUACCGAAUAAUAUUCCCCGCGGCAAAGGUGCGUUUAAGGAUGGGCCCGCGUACCAUUAGCUCGUUGGUAGGGUAAUGGCCUACCAAGGCUACGAUGGUUAGCUGGUCUGAGAGGAUGGCCAGCCACACUGGAACUGAGACACGGUCCAGACUCCUACGGGAGGCAGCAGUGGGGAAUCUUGCGCAAUGGGGGAAACCCUGACGCAGCAACGCCGCGUGGGUGAUGAAGGCCUUCGGGUCGUAAAGCCCUGUCUGGUGGGAAGAAUGACGGUACCACCGAAGGAAGCACCG